rnacentral:rRNA from 1 species
UGGGGAAUAUUGCACAAUGGAGGGAACUCUGAUGCAGCGACGCCGCGUGAACGAAGAAGGCUUUCGAGUCGUAAAGUUCUUUUAUAUGGGAAGAUAAUGACGGUACCAUAAGAAGAAGCCCCGGCUAACUACGUGCCAGCAGCCGCGGUAAUACGUAGGGGGCUAGCGUGGUCCGGAAUCACUGGGCGUAAAGGGUUCGCAGGCGGAAAUGCAAGUCAGGUGUAAAAGGCAGUAGCUUAACUACUGUAAGCAUUUGAAACUGCAUAGCUUGAGAAGAGUAGAGGUAAGUGGAAUUUUUAGUGUAGCGGUGAAAUGCGUAGAUAUUAAAAAGAAUACCGGUGGCGAAGGCGACUUACUGGGCUCAUUCUGACGCUGAGGAACGAAAGCGUGGGUAGCAAACAGG